GGAAGCGAUUGCCACGCUGGUGCGGGCCUCGGACUUCAAAUCCGGUGGGGGACGUGGCAACACGUCCCCGGCGGGUUCGAUUCCCGUCCGCUUCCG
rnacentral:tRNA from 1 species